UAAUGUAUGUUUCUCUCGUGUCUCUUCUAGGUAGGAUUCCAUUUACAUACCAUUCUGUGGUUGGGUGAAGUUUCUGUGCAGCUUCAAUGGCCAGCCACAGUGGCCUCAUCGCAUGAUUGGGAGUUUUGGCGUGCUGAGCAUUAUUAGAUCCCAGCAGACAAUGAUGGCAUACAACCAGGAGGCUGUAGUUACAAGCUCACAAGACGGAGCUGCAGAAUGUACUCGGAACACCACAGCUAUGACGGACAUUAAGCCAGAGAUUAAGGGCCGCAUCUAUGUGAACCCUCGGAUAGCCAAGGUGUUUCCCACCGUACGUAAGGAGGAGGUAUCAGCAGAGCUGGGACUGUACAAGACUAAGGAGAAAGUGAAGGUGGUGAAAAAACAGGUGUUUCCUUGGCUGGUCAAGUUUAACGCCCUGUGUCGCGAGGCUGCAGGCAGUCGCAGUUACCAACGCCUCGACGAUCUCAUGAACAUCUACGUCAGGAAUGUUGCUGAAGAUGUGAAAAAUUGCUACAAAAAGCCAAACAGAGCCUCCAAGUUGAAGACAAGGAUGAACGAUUACUUGAAGCUGUUCCAUAUGCUGUAUAAGGAAGUGAGAAAGCCACUGGAGUUCAAUCAUUACCUGGAAAGGAUGUCAGAUCUACUCGCUAUGUAUCUGGACAUGGAGAUUAAAGCUUCCAGAAGAGGCAAAGAGAAUCCUCGGACUAUAUCCGACAGACUUAUGUCAGCUCUCUUCAUCUUGUUGGACAAUUCAAUGAAUCAUAUUCUGAAAGCCAUCAUCAAGGCGAAAUUCUUCAUCAAGAUGUUUCAUGAAAUAUGCAUUCCAAUUAUCCAGCGAGUUCUCAGAGACAUCCCAGAUGAGCUAUCGGACGAACAGUACAUACAAUAUGUCCUGGUCUUUAAAAAAUGGAAGGUGCUGGUUGGCCGUAAGGAGGAGAGGCAGGAGAUCAACAGGCUAGCUGCAGCGAGGUUGACUCCUCCGCCAGGCUUUGCUGACUUGUACCAUGACUCUGACAAGUACACAGGUCUGCUUCCUGUUGUGGCCCGGGGCCGCAAGGAUAAGUUCACACUCAUGCUUAUGCAGGCACCUGGCUUAAGCGUCAAGGAUACUAGUGAGGGCUAUCAACACACCAGUUUCAACAUCGAGAGUUCUGUAAAGUCGUUGGAUGACCUAGAACUCAACGCUCCUCUGCUCACUGACGAACUCAUCGGCAUCUAUGACAAUGAUGAUCUUAAGAGUGAAAGGUGUACAACCAAUAACUUAAAGGAAAUGUGGACACAACUUGAUGAACUUGAAGUAAAUGGUCUUGAGCAACAAGUAAUGGCCGACCUGUUUGAGGAAGAAUUCACUGCCAAACUCAGGAAGCGACAGGAGGCAGAGGAAAAGCUUAGGCUGGAAAAAGCGGCUCGUAAAACUCCUAAGAAUAAGAAAACUUCCAAGCUUUUUGAAAACAAAGCCAUGUCUUCACAUUCCUGCGUACACAGUACAAUACCGAGGUCUUUCGGUAGGGUCCCAGCAGGACCCCUAUCAACUUCAAUGAAGGAGUUUUAUUGUAACACAAAGAACCGAAGGUCAGUAUCGAAGAUGGAAGCUGACAGCCAGAGUCAGGACCCGGAGAUCAUUGUCAUAGACGAUGACGAUGACGAACCUACAAUCAAGGUGGAACCUGAAGUUAAGUAUGAAGAGUCUGAAGCAGUCAAGAGAGAAGUAACCCAGCCUCCGGUGUUGAGGGCUGUGGUGAGGCCAGAAAAUAUAGAGCAACUGGCUUCAAUCGAAAGCAACUGUGAUGCAGAAGAGAAAUCUGUAGAUGUUCCUGAGGAAGUGAGAGAAAGCCUUGCAGUAGAGGAGACGAGAAAUGAAGAGAGUGAGACAAAUGACGUGAGUCGGGUUCAGGAAGUAGAGUUUGUCAUGGAUCCGGCAAAAGAUGUUACGGUCGUUGAAGCGGACGCAACCUCUUCAACGAUCGCCACAUCUUUCACUGAGGCUGGACAAGCUCCUUCUGAAGAACCAAGAGCCACCACGGAUUUACUGUUGGAAGAGAUUUCCAAAGUCUCGUCUGUGCAAGACAGUGUCCCCCAGCUGUGGAUGGAUAUUGACGGAAACUUACAAAAUCAACCAUUUGAGGAUCUGUUUGACCCCAACGAUCCGAACAUGUUCUAUCCCGACGGACCGGGAGACACUCACAAUUGGUCGUUCUCGCAUGAUUUCAUCCUCGGUCAGUACGAUGACGAUUUGUUCUCCCAAUACGAAUGCGGGAAUACAAACGCGUUUCCAGACUUCUAUAAUGAUCAGCAAGACAUGGUCUUCACCGGUGCAGAUAUUUUCUCCCCUCCUCUGCUGGACAUGAUGAGGGAUGAGCCUGGAGAGUAUCAGCUGACUACUCACUGGGAGGACUUGAGUAUGAUGGUUAGUGAGAGUUAUGUGGAAAAGAGUACGAGUCCGGAGAGAGAAGAAGACACCUCAACACAAACGGAGAAUGAAGGACCGACAGUCGUGUUUAUAGAUAAGCGUAAAGGCCGACGGGGCAAGAAUAAAAGUAAGGUUAAAGAACCAAGUCCUCCCAGCAAAGAGGUGGAGCCAGUUGAGAAAAAAAGCAAAGAGAAACCUGUUGAAGGUAUGUUUUUAUUUUUAUUUUUUUACUGUUUAUUCGAGCCGGAUGAAAUAGACGUUUCAUGCAGUUUCACUGGGGUAUUAAAUUCAUUUUUUGGUGAAAUCAUACGAUGACAUUAAAAAAUAUUGUAUAUACAUUUGUAUGCUACUGCUGACACAGACUGUAGAAACUGUGUAUGGUAAGAGAUUUUUCUUCAUUUUUUUACUGAAGAGUACAAACAAUAACAUAACGUAAUAAGUGCGUAAACCGAUGAAGGUGUUUUCAAUUUGGUCACUGUUACUAACUAAUUGAAAUCGUUGAAAUUUCAAGUGAUGGUUGAAAAAAUGAUUAUUUAGCUUCAAUAAUUUUCUAAAGGCAUUUAAUUGUAACACAAAAUUAUCAUAAAUUGUCUUAAAAAACUGCAAGGAAUGUCUUUGGGGAUGCAUGCACUUAAUGGAUAACUUUGGAAAUACUAGAAACGGAAAAUCUGGAGGAGAAAUAGUAAAACACGGUUACAUUUUAAGAAGUGAUGUAUGGAAUAUGUUUUUAGAAUUUUUAAUACAAAUAUCUGGAAUAUUGACUGGAAAAUCAAUAGUUUAUGUCUUUAUACCUUUAACAAAAUUUGAACUAUACUCUAAAUUCAAUGUUUUAAAAGUUUUUAAUUCACACAAAAAUUAAACUGUUGAACUACAAGAAAAACUUCCAAAAAUACUAACUACAAAAUUGUUUUAUACAAAAUUGUUAAAAUCAUUGAGUAAUGCAAUUUUGAAAUUAAAAAGUUUAUAUUCUUAUAAAUUUUAAAAUUAAUAAAUAUAAUUAGUUAUCACUGUCAUGACUAAAAUAUUUACUAAUGAAAGGAAAACCAAAAGUAAAGUAAAUUAUUGGAAAUCAUACAAUAAGAAAACUUGAAGAAUCUUUGGAAGACAUGAAGAUAUCUGGACGGCUUAAUGGCUUCAGGACUCCUCACAAGAACUCCUAAAGUAAAAUAUAACAUUUGAAUGAGACAUAAACAUACAAAUAGCUGUUUUUAACCAGCCUUUAAAUUUAUUUGUAAUAGUCAAUUUUCACUAUUUCCUGAAGUUGUUGUAUUUGGAAAUGAAUGAUCAUUACUUUAUUUGCACAGAAGAUAUGAUGAAAUCAAUAUCAAUAAUGGAUAAAUUAUUAAGUAAAGUAAAUUAUUGGAAAUCAUACAAUAAGAAAACUUGAAGAAUCUUUGGAAGACAUGAAGAUAUCUGGACGGCUUAAUGGCUUCAGGACUCCUCACAAGAACUCCUAAAGAAAAAUAUAACAUUUGAAUGAGACAUAAACAUACAAAUAUCUGUUUUUAACCAGCCUUUAAAUUUAAUUGUAAUAGUCAAUUUUCACUAUUUCCUGAAGUAGUUGUAUUUGGAAAUGAAUGAUCAUUACUUUAUUUGCACAGAAGAUAUGAUGAAAUCAAUAUCAAUAAAAAAACUUAUUUUUUAAAUCUGGAUAUCCGUCUUAACCUAAUGAAAAUACUGGAAGAGAAGAAACCCAAGUACGACAGCUGUGAUGUGAAGAUCACACAUUAAGAAUUACAAAAAUUAUAUAUGAAGUAUGUAUGAUAAAUUAUUUACUCAUUUCAUGAGAUAAAUGUUUGUGGAAAUAAUGUUUACCAAAAAUUAUUAACUCACGAGAAACCAUUAUUGAAUUAAACAUGCCUAUUGAAACAGUUAAUUGGUGUGGUGGCAAUCACACUAGUAUUUAAUUGUAUUUUUACUUUCAAUUUUAAAAUUGUUCAUCAGCAGAAAUUAAAAAGUAAUCAUUUGUAUACAUUUUUGACUGUAGUUAAUUUGGUUUUGUACAAAUUUCAAGCUAUGCAAAAUUAUAAUUGGCAUUUAAACUUCAAUUAUGAGUACUUUGCAUUUUCUAUUAAAUUAACCUUGAUGAUCAAUUUCACUGAUUAUGAUAUGACUUUAACACAAUAAUUUUUAUAACAAAGACAAAAAGGAUCGAACAAAAGAAGAGAAUGACUUGAACACAAUAAUUUUUAUAACAAAGACAAAAAGGAUCAAACAAAGUAAGAGAAGAAGGGACAAACGUUGAUGUAGAAAAGGAUAUCUUGUGGACAUCUACACACCUUCAGUUCUAAGGAUAAAAUCUGAUUUGAAGAUGAAACUAAUUCUUCAUUCCUCAAAGAAUGAGUCACUCAACACAUGAGAUGAGCUGUAAUAAAUUAAAAUGUUUACAAAAACUUGGAUUUGUUUUUUAAACUAGUAGGUUUUUAAUGUCUGUCAAAGAAAGAUGAGACAAGUGCAUAAAACAAUUGUCCAAUGUAAAAAUAUUAUCUGAAAAAUUUAUGAGUUAAGAGUAUUUUUAAAAUUGACAAUUCACAUAUUUAACUGAGUAAACAUCCUGAAUAGCAAUAAAAAUAGACCAGUAAUAAAAAUAGAUCUCUGCAAUUUCCAUUUUUAUUUAUCAAAUAUUUUAUUACUGUAAUUAUUUUGUUGUCAAAAUGACUUAUUUUGGAACAUCCCGAAUAGGUUUUAAAUUUCCAGUUUUACUGUUUUGAAAUAUUAAACAUUAAUAAAUUUCAAUGAUUUACAUGGAAAAUAAAUCCUCAGUAGGCCUACAUACAGUCUCAGUCUUCGCAGGAGAUUCGCAAGAUUGUACUCUUUAUAUGGAAUAUACACUGAAGAUGCUCAAAAUGUUAUUUGAAAAACAAAUAUCCAGAGAUAUUCAAGAUUAUGUUGCAUGUUUGGAAGAUGUACUAUAAAAUGUAUUAAAGACUGAAGAUAUUCAAGAUUAUAUUCUAUAUUUAUUUUGAAGAUAUACUGAAGAUAUCCAAGAUUAGAUACUAUGUUUGUUACAUCUGCUGAGGAUAUUCAAGAUUGUUCCCCUUGAAGAUCAACUUUAAAUGUUUCAGAUCUUUAUUUUUACUAAACUUACCAAUUUGAGAUUUUUUAUUUUAUGGAGAACCAUUAAAAUUAGUUACGUCCUAACAUUUUAUUUGCAUUUUUUCAAAUCAUUUAAUUCUUAACUUUACAACAGUUUUAAUUGUGGAUAUCCUCUAUAUAGCUGAAUAAAGUAAUGGAUUAUGCUCUUUAUUUGGAAGAUUGAGAGAAACUGUUAAGAAUUCCAUAUGUUGUGAAGAAUCAACCUCGCCAACGUUUGAAGAUCACCCAGAGACAACAAGUUUCACAAAACAACAAGUCUACAAGUUUCAUCAUUAAAUUGAAGAAUUAAUGAAUUUUAACAAUAAGCUAUCAUAGCUCAAAUACGAAUAUACCAAAAGAUCCAAGGAAGAUCAAUGAGAUGGCAAAAGGGGAAUAACCUUAAAUGAAUAUAAAUAUAUAUAUGAAAUAUCAAAACAUAUUGUAGCCUUGAUCGAAAGAAUUUUAGUUAAAUAAAAUUCUGCCAAUACAAGUUUAUAUUUUAUAGUUCAACAACAGGUUUGAAUAAUAUUUUUUCCCAAAGAAAAUUAAUAAAUUAAAAUUUGUUUCUCUUUUCAAUCUGAAUUCAAUAACGUCUGCAUUACCUUUUAUUGAAAUAAUUACUUUUUGAGUAACUUUUUCCCAAUUUUAAUAUUUUUUCAAUAAAAAAAAAAUUUUAUUAGCUAAAGUAGGCUACAUGUAAAUUAUUAAAAUACUCAAUCUAUCUUUAUUUUCCAAAACCUAAGAAGAAUUUGAAACAAAGAUGUGAGUAAAAAGUCAAAGAAAGGGCAAAGACGGAAAAGGGUUCACUUUGAAGAAGAGGAUGAUGAGGAGGAGGAAGAGGAAGAAGAACCUGAGCCAGAACCGCAACCGCAACCAAAGAAACGGAAAGGUCGGC